rnacentral:rRNA from 1 species
ACAGAGGUCCCAAGCGUUGUUCGGAUUUACUGGGCGUAAAGGGUGCGUAGGCGGCUAGGUAAGUUUGAUGUGAAAGCUCCGAGCUCAACUCGGAAAAGGCAUUGAAAACUGCUUGGCUAGAGGAUCGGAGGGGAGACUGGAAUUUUCGGUGUAGCAGUGAAAUGCGUAGAUAUCGAAAGGAACACCAGUAGCGAAGGCGAGUCUCUGGACGAAUCCUGACGCUGAGGCACGAAAGCCAGGGUAGCAAACAGG